rfam:Verticillium albo-atrum VaMs.102 supercont1.27 mitochondrial scaffold, whole genome shotgun sequence.
UAUGUUGUGGACUAAUGGGUAAGUCAUAAAUUUUUGAUAUUUACUAUUAAGUGUUCGAAUCACUUCAACAUAA